rnacentral:rRNA from 1 species
UACGAAGGGGGCUAGCGUGGCUCGGAAUUACUGGGCGUAAAGGGCGCGAAGGCGGUUAUAUCAGUCAGGUGUGAAACCCCUGGGCUCAACCUAGGAACUGCACUUGAGACGGUAUGGCUUGAGUUCGAUAGGGGAUGGUGGAACUCCCAGUGUAGAGGUGAAAUUCGUAGAUAUUGGGAAGAACACCGGUGGCGAAGGCGGCCAUCUGGCUCGAUCCUGACGCUGAGGAGCGAAAGCGUGGGGAGCAAACAGG